rnacentral:tRNA from 1 species
GGAGGGGUUCCCGAGUGGCUAAAGGGGACGGGCUGUAAACCCGUUGCGCUUGCGCUACGAAGGUUCGACUCCUUCCCCCUCCACCA